rnacentral:rRNA from 1 species
UACGUAGGGGGCAAGCGUUGUCCGGAAUCAUUGGGCGUAAAGAGCGCGUAGGCGGCCCGGUAAGUCCGCUGUGAAAGUCAAGGGCUCAACCCUUGAAUGCCGGUGGAUACUGUCGGGCUAGAGUCCGGAAGAGGCGAGUGGAAUUCCUGGUGUAGCGGUGAAAUGCGUAGAGAUCGGGAAGAACAUCGGUGGCGAAGGCGGUCUGCUGGGCCGUUGCUGACGCUGAGGCGCGACAGCGUGGGGGAGCAAACAGG